GACGAACGCUGGCGGCGUGCUUAACACAUGCAAGUCGAACGGAAAGACCCUGCUCUGGUGGGGUGCUCGAGUGGCGAACGGGUGAGUAACACGUGAGAAACCUGCCCUUGACUUUGGGAGAACUUCAGGAAACUGGGGCAAAUACCGGACAGGAGCUCCUGCUGCAUGGUGGGGGUUGGAAAGUUUCGGCGGUUGGGGAUGGACUCGCGGCUUAUCAGCUUGUUGGUGGGGUAGUGGCUUACCAAGGCUUUGACGGGUAGCCGGCCUGAGAGGGUGACCGGCCACAUUGGGACUGAGAUACGGCCCAGACUCCUACGGGAGGCAGCAGUGGGGAAUAUUGCACAAUGGGCGGAAGCCUGAUGCAGCGACGCCGCGUGCGGGAUGACGGCCUUCGGGUUGUAAACCGCUUUCGCCUGUGACGAGGCGUGAGUGACGGUACUGGGUAAAGAAGCCCCGGCUAACUACGUG
rnacentral:rRNA from 1 species